CAGUGCUCCAGGGCUGCAAAAACUCUCACAGACUGGGUGAGCCCCUGUGAGGGCAGGCACAACCAAUUGCCUAAUCAGGGAGCUCAAUAGCCCAAUGUGUGCAAUUUGCAAAGGAGGAACCUGGUCAAGAGAUUAAGCAACUGACUCAAGUUCACAAAGCAAAUAAUGGACAGGACUAAAACCCAGUCUUGUGGUCCUGACUUCAUGCUGCAAAUGAGACAUAAUGAAGACAAGCAGGCAGACUGGUCUGGUGGAAGAUUAAAGGAAUAGAGAGAUGAAUCAGUGUAACACCUCAUUUGAGAUCCAGGACUACGGAUUUCAAGAGCCAGGAAGGAGUCUCCUGCUGGCAGUGCUUUCCCAGGUACCUAAUGGCAUAAGUUCAAAAUGACAAUGAAUAAGGAGGAUGACUGUGCCACCCAGGAAAGAUGGUGAGAAAAAAAUAUAAAG